rnacentral:rRNA from 1 species
UACCAGCACCCCGAGUGGUCGGGACGUUUAUUGGGCCUAAAGCAUCCGUAGCCGGUUCUACAAGUCUUCCGUUAAAUCCACCUGCUUAACAGAUGGGCUGCGGAAGAUACUAUAGAGCUAGGAGGCGGGAGAGGCAAGCGGUACUCGAUGGGUAGGGGUAAAAUCCGUUGAUCCAUUGAAGACCACCAGUGGCGAAGGCGGCUUGCCAGAACGCGCUCGACGGUGAGGGGAUGAAAAGCUGGGGAGCAA